rnacentral:rRNA from 1 species
UGGGGAAUAUUGCGCAAUGGGCGAAAGCCUGACGCAGCGACGCCGCGUGAGGGAUGAAGGUCUUCGGAUCGUAAACCUCUGUCAGCAGGGAAGAACGGUCACUGUGCUAAUCAGCAGUGAAUUGACGGUACCUGC